GACCUUGGAAGUCGGGGCGGUAACGCCUAUAUUCAAUCCGUCCGGGUUCGCCCGGACUAUGGCGAUAAACGCGCUUGUAAUAAGCGGACCGGACCCGGGUGCGAUUCCCGGCGGCUCCACCAUUUCUUCCCCGCGUUAUCGGCGGAGCGAGCAUGGGGCCGACUAGCAUCGACGGACGUGUAAAGAAGACUGCUUUCGCCCGUCCUGGCCCACCGUAUCGGGCCAUUUUCUAACUGCGAACGAUAACUUCGCUGGAGAAGUCGCUCUCGCCGCAUAAGCGGUUCGGGUGAUUUCGAACACUUAAGUCCUCAGGGAUCAGUUCCUGGGGCGGGGCCGCCAGGGGGCCUGCCAACAGAACCCCUGGCACU
rnacentral:tmRNA from 1 species